AUGCGCAACACCGUUGUCUUCCGCCUACAUGCAAUAACAUCACACUUUGAGAACCAUAGCCUCAUCUCGAUCUUCAGAUCGUCCAGGGCCGAGGCAUAUGCUGAGAAGCUUGGUUCCUUCUGCGUGAGGUCUGCUUGGAGGAGAUGCGAAUCAGUCUCGAUGCAGAUCCGGAUCAAACAAGCAAAAUUGUGGUUCUCCCCACCUCCGGCCGGAGCAUUAGACGGGUGGGAGGAUGUGGAGAUAGGAGAAAGAAGAGAUCAGCUGAGAGGCGGUGCUCGUGUGUCUUGGUUGAGGGAAGAGGAAAAUCAAUUUAUUUAUUUGGAGUAG
rnacentral:rRNA from 1 species